AUUGAACGCUGGCGGCAGGCCUAACACAUGCACGUCGAACGAGUGGCGGACGGGUGAGUAAUGUCUGGGAAACUGCCUGAUGGAGGGGGAUAACUACUGGAAACGGUAGCUAAUACCGCAUACCAUCAGAUGUGCCCAGAUGGGAUUAGCUAGUUGGUGGGGUAACGGCUCACCAAGGCGACGAUCCCUAGCUGGUCUGAGAGGAUGACCAGCCGCACUGGAACUGAUGCACGGGACAGAAGCAUACGUGAGGCAGUAUGGGGGAAUAUUGCACAAUGGGAUGAAUCAGGAUGUAGCCAUGCGGCGUGUAUGAAGAAGGCCGUCGGGUUGUAAAGGACUUUCAGCGGGGAGGAGGUACACGAAGAAGAAGCACCGGCUAACUCCGUGCCAGCAGCCGCGGUAAUAC
rnacentral:rRNA from 1 species